rnacentral:rRNA from 2 species
CGGCGUGCCUAAUACAUGCAAGUCGUGCGGACCUUUUAAAAGCUUGCUUUUAAAAGGUUAGCGGCGGACGGGUGAGUAACACGUGGGCAACCUGCCUGUAAGACUGGGAUAACGCCGGGAAACCGGGGCUAAUACCGGAUAGUUUUUUCCUCCGCAUGGAGGAAAAAGGAAAGGCGGCUUCGGCUGCCACUUACAGAUGGGCCCGCGGCGCAUUAGCUAGUUGGCGGGGUAACGGCCCACCAAGGCAACGAUGCGUAGCCGACCUGAGAGGGUGAUCGGCCACAUUGGGACUGAGACACGGCCCAAACUCCUACGGGAGGCAGCAGUAGGGAAUCUUCCGCAAUGGACGAAAGUCUGACGGAGCAACGCCGCGUGAGUGAAGAAGGCCUUCGGGUCGUAAAACUCUGUUGCCGGGGAAGAACAAGUGCCGUUCGAACAGGGCGGCGCCUUGACGGUACCCGGCCAGAAAGCCACGGCUAACUACGUGCCAGCAGCCGCGGUAAUACGUAGGUGGCAAGCGUUGUCCGGAAUUAUUGGGCGUAAAGCGCGCGCAGGCGGCUUCUUAAGUCUGAUGUGAAAUCUUGCGGCUCAACCGCAAGCGGUCAUUGGAAACUGGGAGGCUUGAGUGCAGAAGAGGAGAGUGGAAUUCCACGUGUAGCGGUGAAAUGCGUAGAGAUGUGGAGGAACACCAGUGGCGAAGGCGGCUCUCUGGUCUGUAACUGACGCUGAGGCGCGAAAGCGUGGGGAGCAAACAGGAUUAGAUACCCUGGUAGUCCACGCCGUAAACGAUGAGUGCUAAGUGUUAGAGGGUUUCCGCCCUUUAGUGCUGCAGCUAACGCAUUAAGCACUCCGCCUGGGGAGUACGGCCGCAAGGCUGAAACUCAAAGGAAUUGACGGGGGCCCGCACAAGCGGUGGAGCAUGUGGUUUAAUUCGAAGCAACGCGAAGAACCUUACCAGGUCUUGACAUCCUCUGACCUCCCUGGAGACAGGGCCUUCCCCUUCGGGGGACAGAGUGACAGGUGGUGCAUGGUUGUCGUCAGCUCGUGUCGUGAGAUGUUGGGUUAAGUCCCGCAACGAGCGCAACCCUUGACCUUAGUUGCCAGCAUUCAGUUGGGCACUCUAAGGUGACUGCCGGUGACAAACCGGAGGAAGGUGGGGAUGACGUCAAAUCAUCAUGCCCCUUAUGACCUGGGCUACACACGUGCUACAAUGGAUGGUACAAAGGGCUGCGAGACCGCGAGGUUAANCCAAUCCCAGAAAACCAUUCCCAGUUCGGAUUGCAGGCUGCAACCCGCCUGCAUGAAGCCGGAAUCGCUAGUAAUCGCGGAUCAGCAUGCCGCGGUGAAUACGUUCCCGGGCCUU